rnacentral:sRNA from 17 species
AGCGCGACCGGAUCCACACCGCGGGUGACCACCAGGUAGUCGCGCAUCACGAUGCCGUGCCGGUUCUC